GAUGAACGCUGGCGGCGUGCCUAAUACAUGCAAGUCGAGCGAACAGGCGAGGAGCUUGCUCCUCUGACGUUAGCGGCGGACGGGUGAGUAACACGUGGAUAACCUACCUAUAAGACUGGGAUAACUUCGGGAAACCGGAGCUAAUACCGGAUAAUAUAUUGAACCGCAUGGUUCAAUAGUGAAAGACGGUUUUGCUGUCACUUAUAGAUGGAUCCGCGCUGCAUUAGCUAGUUGGUAAGGUAACGGCUUACCAAGGCAACGAUGCGUAGCCGACCUGAGAGGGUGAUAGGCCACACGGGAACUGGGACAGGGUCCAGACUCCUAAGGGAGGCAGCAGUAGGGAAUCGGCCGCAAUGGGCGAAAGCAUGACGGAGAAACGCCGCGUGAGUGAUGAAGGUCUUCGGAUCGUAAAACUCGGUUAUUAGGGAAGAACAAAUGUGUAAGUAACUGUGCACGGCUUGACGGUAACUAAUCAGAAAGCCACGGCUAACUACGUG
rnacentral:rRNA from 1 species